GUGGGGAAUAUUGGACAAUGGGCGCAAGCCUGAUCCAGCCAUGCCGCGUGAGUGAUGAAGGCCUUAGGGUUGUAAAGCUCUUUUGUCCGGGAAGAUAAUGACUGUACCGGAAGAAUAAGCCCCGGCUAACUUCGUGCCAGCAGCCGCGGUAAUACGAAGGGGGCGAGCGUUAUUCGGAAUCACUGGGCGUAAAGCGUGCGUAGGCUGUUUUGUAAGUCAGAAGUGAAAGCCCAGGGCUUAACCCUGGAAUUGCUUUUGAAACUACAAGACUCGAAUUCGGGAGAGGAUAGCGGAAUUGUCAGUGUAGCAGUGAAAUGCGUAGAUAUUGACAGGAACACCAGUGGCGCAAGCGGCUAUCUGGACCGAUAUUGACGCUGAGGCACGAAAGCGUGGGGAGCAAACAGGAUUAGAUACCCCUGUAGUCC
rnacentral:rRNA from 1 species